rnacentral:lncRNA from 1 species
AGCAGAUUAUUGGUUAAAUAGUAUAAUUUAACGGCUAUCAAAUGCUUAGUACUUUUAAAAGUACUAUAGCCAAACUCUCUCUCUCUCUCUCUCUCUCUCUAUAUAUAUAUAUAUAUAUAAUCCGGCUAUGAUGCUUAUAAAUGCACUAUCAAACAUUUUGUGCUUGUAAAUUUUUUACCGUUAGAUCUACGGUUUUGAUCAUUUUCAACCGUUAGAUUAUACUAUUCAACCAACCACCUACUCCACCCUAGGAAGCCCAUAUCAUCCUAACCGCGUAUCCCUUAAUCCAAUGUCAAAAAAUCUACAAGCACUAUUUUUAAAAGCAUAGGAGCUCAAUGUUAUAUAUAUAUAUAUAUAUAGUGGCCCGGUAUGCUUCUGAAAGUACAGAGCCCUCCGUGCUUUCAAGUUGUUUUCGAUGUUCGGACUUUCGAAUCGACGAUUGGCUCCAUUAGACUUGAUCUAGAGUAUUUGAAGUACUUAGAAAAUAAAUUUUGUAAUUUUUCGAUAUCAUUUGCCUAGUGAUCGAAGGAGCUCAAAAUCAGUAAUUUUAAUGGCCGUGGUGAGCCGUUUGCAAGUUUGACGGUGUAGAAAUAUUCAAAUCACAUGAAAUUUUGAUAGAAAAUUCUUUAUACCAUAUAAAACAAGAUCAAUAACUUUAUCUAAAAUUUUAAUAUCAUAUAAUCAUAUUUUGUAAGAUUUUUAUUUUCAGCCGUUGAUUUUGAGCUACUUCGAUUACUAGGCAAAUGAUAUCGAAAAAUCGCAAA